AUAAUAUAAACUAUAUUUAAACACUCAGUACACUGUGAUUCUAUAAAAAGAUUACAUUUCUUUUAUAAAAUUUUUUAUGAAAAUCCACUUUUAAGAGUUGAUUCUAAUAAAUUUGAUAGAUCGAAAUCAUUAUGUGCAAUUGUCAAUCAUUGGCUUGGCUGGAUCAGCUUUGCUGCAGUCUUCGAACUAAAAUUAAGAUAUUCUGUGCUUGGACUAUUUUACAUUCCAUAAUUUUUUUCGGUGGCUUUGGGUAUUCAGCAUUUACAGAAUGCAAAUACGAUGAACCUUGCAAAGCUAAUCUGUAUAAGGGCUUUUGCUUUCUGUUAUCUGUAAUCCAUGUGGCUGCAGGGAUAAUUAUGUUAAUAAGUUUUCUGUCACAAUAUCUCGGAACAGAAUUUAAAGAAUCAAUUUUUGUUUAGUGUCGCUCUGAGUACAUUAUUUCCUCUGGGAGCUCUACAUAAUUAUCCGUUGGUGUAUUUGAUUAUAUGUCAAGUUGUCUUCAUAGUAUUUGCAGUGAGAUAUAGUACUACAAUGAAACGAAAUCAAAACGUCGUGGACCCUGCAUAAAAUUUUGAAAAUUUGACAAAUUUUUGCUAAAUAAUAAUAGCAUAAACUUUUUAUAAGCAACUUAUCAAACCUGGUGCAAUUUUCAAGAUUGCUUCAUAAAUGAAAAUUCCACUUGGUCUGAUUAAUUUGCAUUUGCAAUUAAAUUUUAUUUGACAGUACAUUUUUUUGUAUUUUUGAGUGCAAAAUCAUUAUAUUUAAAAUUAAAUGUAGUAUAUGAUAAUCAAUCUUAGAAAAUUAACCUGACAUUCGCGAUCGUUAAUUUAUACGUAAUAAAAAUGAUCUGAUUAAUUUAGAACAGUUGAGUUUUUUAAUGCUUCGUUAUAAAUCAGAAAAAUGAUUCGCUUAGUACAGCUCAUUAACUACAAUAUUGAACUAGUUUAGAUCCAUCAAAAACUAAAUAUCUAUAAAACGUGGCAACAUUUUCGUAUAUCAUUCGUUUUGCUGCGUUUGAAAAGUUUCUGUAUUAUAUCCCAAAAUCGAUAUUGGUGCGAUUGAAUUGAUUAAAAAAAAAAAUUAAAUUAUAGUCCGUGUAAAUCGAGAAUGAAAUUAAAAUUGUACUGUCAGAAAUUUAUUCCUGACCUACUUCGUUAUCUAAACUUAACAUGGAAUGCGCCGGUUUUACACUGCGACGUCAGGCUAUAUUCUUUAGUAUUUGGACAAUUGUCCAUGGUGUGGUUCUGCUAAUUAUCCUGGGAACACUAAGUAUUAUUCAAUGGGAUAUAGAAAGUUUGAAAUACAAACGUAUCUAUCACUUGAUGCUUGUUGGUUUGUCAAUGGUACAUUUUAUGUCGGGUAUCUUGAUGUUAAUUGGUGUCUUAAAAAGUUUAAAGUAUAUAUAUAUACCUGGAUUUAUAUUAAGCUUUGUAAUGCCAAUUGUGACUGUGAAUUCGGUUCUAGUGUAUAUGAUAAUACUACAAUUUCUCUUUACGCUGCUCGCUUGCAGAUAUCUGUGUUUUGUGUGAGGCGUGAGUACCAAAUUUGAUAUAUUUUCGAAAUCCACUAACGAGUUGUUGAAUGUCAUAUGAAGACAAGCAAGAUUGUGUAAAUAUGUGAAUAUUUUGCAUUUAUGGGAAAUAUUCUAAUAAAAAUUUCAGUGAAAUUUGUCU